GACGAACGCUGGCGGCGUGCUUAACACAUGCCAGUCGAACGGAAAGGCCCUGCUUGCAGGGUACUCGAGUGGCGAACGGGUGAGUAACACGUGGGUGAUCUGCCCUGCACUUCGGGAUAAGCCUGGGAAACUGGGUCUAAUACCGGAUAGGAGCCAUUUUUAGUGUGAUGGUUGGAAAGUUUUUUCGGUGUAGGAUGAGCUCGCGGCCUAUCAGCUUGUUGGUGGGGUAAUGGCCUACCAAGGCGGCGACGGGUAGCCGGCCUGAGAGGGUGGACGGCCACAUUGGGACUGAGGGACGGCCCAGACUCCUACGGGAGGCAGAAGUGGGGAAUAUUGCACAAUGGGCGCAAGCCUGAUGCAGCGACGCCGCGUGGGGGAUGACGGCCUUCGGGUUGUAAACUCCUUUCGCUAGGGACGAAGCUUUUUGUGACGGUACCUAGAUAAGAAGCACCGGCUAACUACGUG
rnacentral:rRNA from 1 species